CAAAAAGUCUCAAGGAAGUACUCAGAUUGGUCAGGCUUGAGUUAGGAGCCCUUUAUAGAAUCAUCAAGGAUGGCCAAGAGGUUGGCCCUAUGACUGAUUGCCCCCAUUGGAAAGGAACAAUUGAAAAGGAGGAAGAGGAGUUCUCCAAGAGGAGGCCAAUAUAUUUUGGGGAAGAUGAAAAAGCUUCAUGCCAGACAUAAUGAGACUUUCCAACAGAAAGAGUAGGAAAUAAAGGACUAAACAAAGCUGGGCUGAAAGAUUAUAAAAACAAAUGAGCAAGGGAAGUAGCAAUAAUGUUCGGAUGCUUACCCCAACAAAGGUGAUGAAUGGAAGCAGAAUAAAAAGCAAACCAUACCCUCUGCAUACUUCAAGUUUCUCAAGACAUAAACCUGGCCUGCACUAUGAGGAAGAGGACAUGCUAAACUGAGCACAAUAUGGAAGUUUUAACUGUCAUAAAUUUUGAAUAACUUUAAGUAACCAGAAAUGCAAGCAGUGUGUGAUGGUUAAUACUGAGUAUCAGCUUGAUUGGACUGAAG
rnacentral:lncRNA from 1 species